rnacentral:rRNA from 1 species
AUUGAACGCUGGCGGUAGGCCUAACACAUGCAAGUCGAGCGGAUGCAGAGUAAGUGCUCGCGCUUACAGCGGGCGAGGGGCGGGCGAUGGAUAAGAACAUCGCAGUCUACUGGGGCGAGGGUGCGAACGUAGGGAAUCAUACCGUAAUCGCCCAGAGGACCUACGGGGGGGAGCAGCGGAUCUUCGGCCCUCACGCGAGUCUAUGAGCCGAUGUCGGAUUGGCGAGUUGGCGGGGUAAAGGCCCACCAAGGCGACGAUCCGUAGCUGGUCUGAGAGGAUGAUCAGCCACACUGGAACUGAGACACGGUCCAGACUCCUACGGGAGGCAGCAGUGGGGAAUAUUGGACAAUGGGCGAAAGCCUGAUCCAGCCAUACCGCGUGGGUGAAGAAGGCCUUCGGGUUGUAAAGCCCUUUUGUUGGGAAGGAAAAGCAGUAGGUUAAUACCCUGCUGUUUUGACGUUACCAAAAGAAUAAGCACCGGCUAACUUCGUG